rnacentral:rRNA from 1 species
CCUACGGGAGGCAGCAGUGAGGAAUAUUGGUCAAUGGACGGGAGUCUGAACCAGCCAAGUCGCGUGAAGGAUUACUGCCCUAUGGGUUGUAAACUUCUUUUAUAAAGGAGUAAAACGAGGCACGUGUGCCUUUUUGCAUGUACUUUAUGAAUAAGGAUCGGCUAACUCCGUGCCAGCAGCCGCGGUAAUACGGAGGAUCCGAGCGUUAUCCGGAUUUAUUGGGUUUAAAGGGAGCGUAGAUGGGUUGUUAAGUCAGGUGUGAAAAUUUGCGGCUCAACCGUAACAUUGCAAUUGAUACUGGCGGUCUUGAGUACAGGUGAGGUAGGCGGAAUUCGUGGUGUAGCGGUGAAAUGCUUAGAUAUCACGAAGAACCCCGAUUGCGAAGGCAGCUUACUAAACUGCGACUGACAUUGAUGCUCGAAAGUGUGGGUAUCAAACAGGAGUAGAUACCCCUGUAGUC